AUUGAACGCUGGCGGAAUGCUUUACACAUGCAAGUCGAACGGCAGCACGGGGGCAACCCUGGUGGCGAGUGGCGAACGGGUGAGUAAUACAUCGGAACGUGCCCAGUCGUGGGGGAUAACGUAGCGAAAGUUACGCUAAUACCGCAUACGAUCUACGGAUGAAAGCGGGGGACCGUAAGGCCUCGCGCGAUUGGAGCGGCCGAUGUCAGAUUAGGUAGUUGGUGAGGUAAAGGCUCAUCAAGCCGACGAUCUGUAGCUGGUCUGAGAGGACGACCAGCCACACUGGGACUGAGACACGGCCCAGACUCCUACGGGAGGCAGCAGUGGGGAAUUUUGGACAAUGGGCGCAAGCCUGAUCCAGCCAUUCCGCGUGCAGGACGAAGGCCUUCGGGUUGUAAACUGCUUCUGUACGGAACGAAAAGGCUCUGGUUAAUACCUGGGGCUCAUGACGGUACCGUAAGAAUAAGCACCGGCUAACUACGUGCCAGCCGCCGCGGUAA
rnacentral:rRNA from 1 species